GGGAAAUAAGAAUUUGUCCCAAAAAACAAAAGGAAUACAAACUAAUUUAAAAAGGUGAUACCACAAAAUUAGUAGUUAUGAUUGUCAUUGAAAAAUCUGUUAGGAUGAUCAGUGACUGCCCAGCAAAGAUAUACUCUUUUGUCAGAGCAGCUGGAAUCAUACAUUUUCACGUUCAAAAGAACUCAUGCAUCAGCACUUUUUUUUGAAUGAGCUGUUAUUUACGUGCAAAACAUACUUUCUACACAGCCCAUAUCAUAUCAUUCAAUAUCGUAAAUUA
rnacentral:misc_RNA from 1 species